GCUCUGGACACAGCUGUCCAGUGGGACUCCUGCCCGGCGUCCCUCCUGUGGUUGCAGGCGGCAUCCUCUCGGAAUUCCUUAUUUCCACCCUGACCCCCUCUCCGAACUCGGGACCUUCAACACAGCGGGACACCUUCCCCACAGUGACUCAGGACCACCUCACCAAACUUGAUGGCAGCAGUUUGAUGGCAGAGUCUCAAGUUGCUGGAGCUCAAAGGGACCUUGGAUUUUUCCAGGUCUACUUUGAUGGGAGUUUUUAUAUUUCAAAAGGUUUGAUCCAUCCUGCAAAUCACUCCAGAUCAUAACAGGCUUCUGGAUCAUUUUCCCCACCUCCAUGAACUCCACACCCGGAAGGUCUGCCUGGAAAUGCUAGCCAUGUGCGAUGUGUGCGCAUGGACUCGGCAAUAAACUGCAGGGACAACUCCCCAGACAAGGAAGC
rnacentral:lncRNA from 1 species